rnacentral:rRNA from 1 species
AUUGAACGCUGGCGGCAGGCCUAACACAUGCAAGUCGAGCGAGCGGCGGACGGGUGAGUAAUGUAUGGGGACUGCCCGAUAGAGGGGGGUAAAUAAUGGAAACGGUGGCUAAUACCGCCUAUUGCUGGAUAACCCAUAUGGGUUUAGCUAGUGGGUAAGGUAAUGGCUUACCUAGGCGACGAUCCCUCGCUUGUCGGAGAGGAUGAUCAGCCACACUGGGACUGAGACACGGCCCAGACUCCAACGGAGGCGUCAGUGGGGAAUAUUGCACAAUGGGCGCAAGCCUGAUGCAGCCAUGCCGCGUGUAUGAAGAAGGCCCUAGGGUUGUAAAGUACUUUCAGUCGGGAGGCGUUACCGACAGAAGAAGCACCGGCUAACUCCGUGCCAGCAGCCGCGGUAAUAC